UAGCGGCAGGCCUAAUACAUGCAAGUCGAACGAGAUUAAGGAGCUUGCUUCUUAUGAAAGUGGCGCACGGGUGCGUAACGCGUAUGCAACCUACCUUAAUCAGGGGGAUAGCCCGAAGAAAUUCGGAUUAACACCGCAUAAAAACACAGGAUAGCAUUAUCCAAUGUUCAAAUAUUUAUAGGAUUAAGAUGGGCAUGCGUGUCAUUAGCUAGUUGGCGGGGUAACGGCCCACCAAGGCGACGAUGACUAGGGGAUCUGAGAGGAUGACCCCCCACACUGGUACUGAGACACGGACCAGACUCCUACGGGAGGCAGCAGUAAGGAAUAUUGGUCAAUGGAGGGAACUCUGAACCAGCCAUGCCGCGUGCAGGAAGACGGCCCUCUGGGUUGUAAACUGCUUUUAUUCGGGAAUAAACCUACUUACGUGUAAGUAGCUGAAUGUACCGAAGGAAUAAGGAUCGGCUAACUCCGUGCCAGCAGCCGCGGUAAU
rnacentral:rRNA from 1 species